rnacentral:lncRNA from 1 species
AAUACUUACACUAAGGCUGCUUCAUGAGUCCUGUAUUGUGCCUGGUGUUAUGGUUCAGACAUAAGAUGUCCUCCAAAAGUCUCAAAGGCUUCAGAGAACCCAGUUCUCCAUUGGCCCUGGUACUUCCCUGGGAGUCUAGACCCACUCUUUAUCCCCUGUAAGUUUCAACCACCCAAAACAGCCACCUAUGCCAGUGUGCCGCAACAGGCUGUUUGUACCCUUGAAAGCUCUAAAAGGUUCACCAUCGCCGGCCCUGUGCAUUCCUCCCAAUCCUGAUUCAGAGGUGCCCAAGAGAAUCACACGUUCUCCUUCCCUCGUGGGAUAACUCCGCUGGUGCUACAAAUCAUUUUACCACAUUACUAAAUUAG